rnacentral:rRNA from 1 species
UACGUAGGGCGCAAGCGUUGUCCGGAAUUAUUGGGCGUAAAGAGCUCGUAGGCGGCUUGUCACGUCGGGUGUGAAAGCCCGGGGGCUUAACCCCCGGGUCUGCAUUCGAUACGGGCAGGCUAGAGUGUGGUAGGGGGAGAUCGGAAUUCCUGGUGUAGCGGUGAAAAUGCGCAGAUAUCAGGAGGAACACCGGUGGCGAAGGCGGAUCUCUGGGCCAUUACUGACGCUGAGGAGCGAAAGCGUGGGGAGCGAACAGG